UUAAGCGACUAAGCGUACACGGUGGAUGCCCUGGCAGUCAGAGGCGAUGAAGGACGUGCUAAUCUGCGAUAAGCGUCGGUAAGGUGAUAUGAACCGUUAUAACCGGCGAUUUCCGAAUGGGGAAACCCAGUGUGAUUCGUCACACUAUCAUUAACUGAAUCCAUAGGUUAAUGAGGCGAACCGGGGGAACUGAAACAUCUAAGUACCCCGAGGAAAAGAAAUCAACCGAGAUUCCCCCAGUAGCGGCGAGCGAACGGGGAGCAGCCCAGAGCCUGAAUCAGUGUGUGUGUUAGUGGAAGCGUCUGGAAAGGCGCGCGAUACAGGGUGACAGCCCCGUACACAAAAAUGCACAUACUGUGAGCUCGAUGAGUAGGGCGGGACACGUGGUAUCCUGUCUGAAUAUGGGGGGACCAUCCUCCAAGGCUAAAUACUCCUGACUGACCGAUAGUGAACCAGUACCGUGAGGGAAAGGCGAAAAGAACCCCGGCGAGGGGAGUGAAAAAGAACCUGAAACCGUGUACGUACAAGCAGUGGGAGCCUCUUUAUGGGGUGACUGCGUACCUUUUGUAUAAUGGGUCAGCGACUUAUAUUCUGUAGCAAGGUUAACCGAAUAGGGGAGCCGAAGGGAAACCGAGUCUUAACUGGGCGUUAAGUUGCAGGGUAUAGACCCGAAACCCGGUGAUCUAGCCAUGGGCAGGUUGAAGGUUGGGUAACACUAACUGGAGGACCGAACCGACUAAUGUUGAAAAAUUAGCGGAUGACUUGUGGCUGGGGGUGAAAGGCCAAUCAAACCGGGAGAUAGCUGGUUCUCCCCGAAAGCUAUUUAGGUAGCGCCUCGUGAAUUCAUCUCCGGGGGUAGAGCACUGUUUCGGCAAGGGGGUCAUCCCGACUUACCAACCCGAUGCAAACUGCGAAUACCGGAGAAUGUUAUCACGGGAGACACACGGCGGGUGCUAACGUCCGUCGUGAAGAGGGAAACAACCCAGACCGCCAGCUAAGGUCCCAAAGUCAUGGUUAAGUGGGAAACGAUGUGGGAAGGCCCAGACAGCCAGGAUGUUGGCUUAGAAGCAGCCAUCAUUUAAAGAAAGCGUAAUAGCUCACUGGUCGAGUCGGCCUGCGCGGAAGAUGUAACGGGGCUAAACCAUGCACCGAAGCUGCGGCAGCGACACUAUGUGUUGUUGGGUAGGGGAGCGUUCUGUAAGCCUGUGAAGGUGUGCUGUGAGGUAUGCUGGAGGUAUCAGAAGUGCGAAUGCUGACAUAAGUAACGAUAAAGCGGGUGAAAAGCCCGCUCGCCGGAAGACCAAGGGUUCCUGUCCAACGUUAAUCGGGGCAGGGUGAGUCGACCCCUAAGGCGAGGCCGAAAGGCGUAGUCGAUGGGAAACAGGUUAAUAUUCCUGUACUUGGUGUUACUGCGAAGGGGGGACGGAGAAGGCUAUGUUGGCCGGGCGACGGUUGUCCCGGUUUAAGCGUGUAGGCUGGUUUUCCAGGCAAAUCCGGAAAAUCAAGGCUGAGGCGUGAUGACGAGGCACUACGGUGCUGAAGCAACAAAUGCCCUGCUUCCAGGAAAAGCCUCUAAGCAUCAGGUAACAUCAAAUCGUACCCCAAACCGACACAGGUGGUCAGGUAGAGAAUACCAAGGCGCUUGAGAGAACUCGGGUGAAGGAACUAGGCAAAAUGGUGCCGUAACUUCGGGAGAAGGCACGCUGAUAUGUAGGUGAAGUCCCUUGCGGAUGGAGCUGAAAUCAGUCGAAGAUACCAGCUGGCUGCAACUGUUUAUUAAAAACACAGCACUGUGCAAACACGAAAGUGGACGUAUACGGUGUGACGCCUGCCCGGUGCCGGAAGGUUAAUUGAUGGGGUUAGCGGUAACGCGAAGCUCUUGAUCGAAGCCCCGGUAAACGGCGGCCGUAACUAUAACGGUCCUAAGGUAGCGAAAUUCCUUGUCGGGUAAGUUCCGACCUGCACGAAUGGCGUAAUGAUGGCCAGGCUGUCUCCACCCGAGACUCAGUGAAAUUGAACUCGCUGUGAAGAUGCAGUGUACCCGCGGCAAGACGGAAAGACCCCGUGAACCUUUACUAUAGCUUGACACUGAACAUUGAGCCUUGAUGUGUAGGAUAGGUGGGAGGCUUUGAAGUGUGGACGCCAGUCUGCAUGGAGCCGACCUUGAAAUACCACCCUUUAAUGUUUGAUGUUCUAACGUUGGCCCCUAAUCGGGGUUGCGGACAGUGUCUGGUGGGUAGUUUGACUGGGGCGGUCUCCUCCUAAAGAGUAACGGAGGAGCACGAAGGUUGGCUAAUCCUGGUCGGACAUCAGGAGGUUAGUGCAAUGGCAUAAGCCAGCUUGACUGCGAGCGUGACGGCGCGAGCAGGUGCGAAAGCAGGUCAUAGUGAUCCGGUGGUUCUGAAUGGAAGGGCCAUCGCUCAACGGAUAAAAGGUACUCCGGGGAUAACAGGCUGAUACCGCCCAAGAGUUCAUAUCGACGGCGGUGUUUGGCACCUCGAUGUCGGCUCAUCACAUCCUGGGGCUGAAGUAGGUCCCAAGGGUAUGGCUGUUCGCCAUUUAAAGUGGUACGCGAGCUGGGUUUAGAACGUCGUGAGACAGUUCGGUCCCUAUCUGCCGUGGGCGCUGGAGAACUGAGGGGGGCUGCUCCUAGUACGAGAGGACCGGAGUGGACGCAUCACUGGUGUUCGGGUUGUCAUGCCAAUGGCACUGCCCGGUAGCUAAAUGCGGAAGAGAUAAGUGCUGAAAGCAUCUAAGCACGAAACUUGCCCCGAGAUGAGUUCUCCCUGACUCCUUGAGAGUCCUGAAGGAACGUUGAAGACGACGACGUUGAUAGGCCGGGUGUGUAAGCGCAGCGAUGCGUUGAGCUAACCGGUACUAAUGAACCGUGAGGCUUAACCUU
rnacentral:rRNA from 1 species